AGGUGCAAAACACAACAGCAAAUCAGAAAACACAAUGGUUAAUGUUGUUGUGUUUUCUUUUUUGUGUUGUGUUUUCUGAUUUGCCGUUGUGUUUUGCACCU